GAGUUUGAUCAUGGCUCAGAACGAACGCUGGCGGCAGGCCUAAUACAUGCAAGUCGAGCGGACCUUUCGGGGUCAGCGGCGGACGGGUGAGUAACGCGUGGGAACAUGCCUUUCGGUGCGGAAUAACCGUUGGAAACGGCGGCUAAUGCUGCAUACGCCCUGAGUGGGGAAAGAUUUAUCGCCGAGGGAUUGGCCCGCGUUGGAUUAGGUAGUUGGUGGGGUAAAGGCCUACCAAGCCGACGAUCCAUAGCUGGUCUGAGAGGAUGAUCAGCCACACUGGGACUGAGACACGGCCCAGACUCCUACGGGAGGCAGCAGUAGGGAAUAUUGGACAAUGGGGGAAACCCUGAUCCAGCCAUGCCGCGUGAGUGAAGAAGGCCUUAGGGUUGUAAAGCUCUUUCACUGGCGAGGAUGAUGACGGUAGCCAGAGAAGAAGCCCCGGCAAACUUCGUGCCAGCAGCCGCGGUAAUACGAAGGGGGCGAGCGUUGUUCGGAAUUACUGGGCGUGAAG
rnacentral:rRNA from 1 species